AAACGACUCUCGGCAACGGAUAUCUCGGCUCUCGCAUCGAUGAAGAACGUAGCGAAAUGCGAUACUUGGUGUGAAUUGCAGAAUCCCGUGAACCAUCGAGUCUUUGAACGCAAGUUGCGCCCGAAGCCGUCAGGCCGAGGGCACGCCUGCCUGGGCGUCACACGCCGUUGCCUUCCCCGCGCGCCUCCCUCGGGGGCGUCGGGGAGGGCGGACGAUGGCCUCCCGUGCCUCACCCCGCGCGGUUGGCCCAAAUGCCGAGUCCUCGGCGACGAACGCCACGACAGUCGGUGGUUGUCAAACCUCGGUUGCCUGUUGCGCGCGUUCGUCGCGCUCCGAGCGGCUCGCGACGGUCGCUGCUCUGCAUCGGCGGAGCUUUCAACGCGACCCCAGGUCAGGCGGGGUUACCCGCUGAAUUUAAGCAUAUCAAUAAGCGGAGGAAAAGAAACUUACGAGGAUUCCCCUAGUAACGGCGAGCGAACCGGGAACAGCCC
rnacentral:rRNA from 1 species